GACGAACGCUGGCGGCGUGCUUAACACAUGCAAGUCGAACGGAAAGGCCCUGCUUUUGUGGGGUGCUCGAGUGGCGAACGGGUGAGUAACACGUAAGUAACCUGCCCUUGACUUUGGGAUAACUUCAGGAAACUGGGGCUAAUACCGGAUAGGAGCUCCUGCUGCAUGGUGGGGGUUGGAAAGUUUCGGCUGUUGGGGAUGGACUCGCGGCUUAUCAGCUUGUUGGUGGGGUAGUGGCUUAGCCCGGCUUUGACGGGUAGCCGGCCUGAGAGGGUGACCGGCCACAUUGGGACUGAGGUACGGCCCAGAGUGCUACGGGAGGCAGCGGUGGGGAAUAUUGCACAAUGGGCGGAAGCCUGAUGCAACAACGCCGCGUGCUGGAUGACGGUUUUCGGGUAGUAAACCGCUUUAGCGUGGGACGAAGCGUGAGUGACGGUAAUGGGUAAAGAAGCACCGGCUAACUACGUG
rnacentral:rRNA from 1 species